rnacentral:rRNA from 1 species
GAUGAACGCUGGCGGCGUGCCUAAUACAUGCAAGUCGAGCGAACGGACGAGAAGCUUGCUUCUCUGAUGUUAGCGGCGGACGGGUGAGUAACACGUGGAUAACCUACCUAUAAGACUGGGAUAACUUCGGGAAACCGGAGCUAAUACCGGAUAAUAUUUUGAACCGCAUGGUUCAAAAGUGAAAGACGGUCUUGCUGUCACUUAUAGAUGGAUCCGCGCUGCAUUAGCUAGUUGGUAAGGUAACGGCUUACCAAGGCAACGAUGCAUAGCCGACCUGAGAGGGUGAUCGGCCACACUGGAACUGAGACACGGUCCAGACUCCUACGGGAGGCAGCAGUAGGGAAUCUGCCGCAAUGGGCGAAAGCCUGACGGAGCAACGCCGCGUGAGUGAUGAAGGUCUUCGGAUCGUAAAACUCUGUUAUUAGGGAAGAACAUAUGUGUAAGUAACUGUGCACAUCUUGACGGUACCUAAGCAGAAAGCCACGGCUAACUACGG